UGAGUGCGUGACAUUAACAGGCCGAGUCGUAACUUUCAAAAGUUCCUUCAAAACAAAUUAAAACGUUAAACAACGGAGAUCGGAUUAUGAGGUUACUGUUUUUAAUUUCAGGUGAAGUUUUCGUGUACCUGGCCCAGACCUGGCCAACUAGGUGCUUGUGACAAUAGAAAUAAAAUUGUCUAAUUCCAAUAAUGCAAGUUCAAGAGCUAUGUCUUCUGAAGCUAAACAAUUUCUGUUGCAAGAUUUUGUAAAUCUUCAAGAUAUUGAUGCCUUCGCCAGAUCCAAUUCUUUGCUGCUAUCUAUUUUGCGGCACCACAGCAAGAAAAUGCUGCCAAUUAAGAUUUUGUGGUAAUCGUCACUUAGUUCUAAUGUAGGAGGACAAUGUAAGAUUGAUAGAUUCGAGGUUAAUCCCUAUCCUCUGUUUUGGAAACCUACAAGAGAUUACUGGAAUUGAAGACUGAUAAUUUGUGAAGGAGGAUGAGGAGGGCUCUGGUCGAACGGGGACUUGGAAGGUGGAUUAUCUGAGAAAAACUUUUGGAGGGUCAUGAGGAGUCUAUCCGGAAAUCCUGCUAUGACUAAUCGCUCCCUAGCAAAACUGGCCUCGUACUCUUCUCUCUCCUUCACCGGCCAGGUGUUGUUUAUGUUCCUGUAAUUGCUGUCCGAAGGUGCACGUUGUUGCAGCCUAUGCUGGUGAAAGCUCUUAUUGCAUGAACUCAAACUGGCUGUUCCUUGGUCCUGCUGUCAUGUUAUGGAAAUUGCAUAAUUAUUUUGUUAAAUUGUCAUCGUCACUAUGUAGUUUACCGUUAAUAUGUUAAGAAGGAACAAAAAAGAAAUAUGGGGAUUUUUAUGUCAAACAAGUAAUAAACAUGUUUACGGGAUUGGGAAAGGAAAGUGGAGGAUGUUGGAGGGAGGGAUGUUUCAAGUUUGGAU